GAGGGGAGCUGGAGAGAGAAGGAGGGAUAGAGGAAGAGGAGGAGGUUGAAGUGUGCAUAAGAAAGCAGCUCCUCCCUCCCGCUGUCUGCGGACCGGACGGCAGCAGCAGAAAAGCACCAAUCAGCAGGAAAAUCGCGUCUAAUUUGGGAUUUAACUCGAAGUGAAUGAGCGAGACUUCACCGGAGCACGGACCUGCGCUGCCCUCACUUCAUUGUGCCCCCCUACCCUCUGUGAACCAACCGACAUGCUCUCUCUGGGGCUCGCCGUGUCUCUGCUGGCCGUGUCCUGCGCGCUGUGGCCGGCUGCGGUCCGGGCGGCGUCCUGCGAGACGGUGCGGAUCCCGCUGUGCCGGUCCAUGCCCUGGAACAUGACCAAGAUGCCGAACCAUCUCCACCACAGCACGCAGGACAACGCGGUGCUGGCCAUCGAGCAGUUUGAGGGGCUGCUGGGUACUGGUUGCAGUCCGGAUUUGCUCUUUUUCCUAUGUGCCAUGUAUGCGCCAAUCUGUACUAUUGACUUCCAGCAUGAGCCAAUCAAGCCCUGUAAGGCGGUGUGCGAGCGGGCAAAGCUCGGCUGUGAGCCGGUGAUGAAGCGUUACAACCACAGCUGGCCCGACAACCUGGCCUGCAGCGAGCUGCCACUCUAUGACCGUGGAGUCUGCAUCUCUCCUGAGGCCAUCGUCAAGGCAGACGGACCAGAUCCAUACCACCAGGACCCAGCCAGGUGUAACCCAGAAUCCAGUCCAGACUUCCCAAUGGACUCAAACAACCUUCACUGCAGAGGACCAGAUGGAGAUAGAUGCAGAUGUAAGUCAGUCAGAAUGAAUAUGAGAACCUAUGAGAAGAACAACUACAACUAUGUGAUCAGAGCAAGGGUCAAGGAGGUGAGGAAUCGCGGUCUGGAGCCCACCGCUGUGGUGGACGUGAAGGAGGUGAUCAAGUCUUCUCUGGUCAACAUUCCCAAGAUGACGCUGACACUCUACUACUCAUCCUCCUGCCUGUGUCCUAAGCUGACUCCUGGAGAAGAUUACAUCAUUAUGGGCUACGAGGAUGGUGAAACCUCAAAGUAUGGGCAGUGGAAGAUAUAACUGAUAAUAUAGUUAUUGACAUCAAGAAGUUGGUUGCUCCUGAUUGACAGGUCCAUUGCUCAGAAGUGGAAGGAUAGAAUUGGCAGGAAGGUCAAGAGAUGGAACCAGAUGCUGCACAAGAAAAUUCAGGGUCGCCACUGAGAUCUUCUGACUUUGCGUGCGUGUGACUGUGUGUAUGUGUGUGUAGAUAUUGCACUAUUACAGGCUGUUGUAGCUGAAUGUAGUUCAUCUCUUCAUCUGCCACUGUUUGAAGUCAGUUUUGUCAUUUACUUCCUUUGCACAAACAUCAAUUAAUGUGUGUUUGAUUGUGUGUGCGUGUGUGUUUACGUGUGUGUGUGUGUGUGUGUAUACACCUAAAGCGCUCAGUUAAGAUGCCAGAGGGAGGAGCUUAAAACUGCGUGCAGCCAUGUAUUUUUUUUUUUUUUUUUUUUUCCUCCCGCGGUGGCUUUGUUGGCUACACAGCUCCUCUUCAUAGUUACAGUUUUUAUUAAUCCUGGAUGUUGACCAUGUUACCAUGGUGAUGGAAUGGACGACAUUUUAAAUGAUACGAAAGCCAUUUGGACUUGGACAUUUUGAAUACAUCUGUAGCCAUGACCUGCCUUCCACUGAGCUCCUAAGAAAAUGAAACAUGGAUAUCGAUGCUUUGUUCAGACAGCAGUGGGAGUAGAAAGCAGCAGAAACUUGUUUUCCUCAUUAUCAGUAGAUCCAGUUAUCGAUGGAUUACUGAAUGGGGCUCAUGAGCACAGGUCACAGCCUUCUGUUUUGACAAAUUCCAACUUUAAAAUCUGCAAAGAGCUUCAAAAAAGUCACAUAGAUGUGUAAAAAGACAGUAAAUGACUGCAAAGAUAUGGAUAACAAGUUGAAGACCAACAACCAUAUAAAGAGAUAAAAAUUAUCAAAACUCUGUGUGGCACUGUUUUAAAAAAAAAAAAAAAGAAAAGCCCUUUUUAAAAUUGCCUGUAAAAUUUACAUUUUGCAAAUUUGUUAGACAUGGAUAACAAAUUUUUAAACAUUUUGUAAAGCUUUUUAUAACCUUUUUUUUUUUUUUUUUUUUAAAGCAGUUGUACAUAAAGAAUAAAACCAAAAAUCUUACUGCUUUGAUAUGGCAUUCAGUAUCAGGAUUUCAUGUUGGCUGAUGGUUUACGUGGGCAUUAUGAGGGUGGGGGGCAGAUGCAGGACAUCAGUUUCAUUAUGCUUUAGUUUAACAAAUGUUUAUUCUCCCCUCAAAUCUGACCAGCAAACAUAUUCUAACAUGCAUUUUCUGUUUUGGUACCUGUUAAAAAUUAGUACUAUAUUUGUGCGACCCACACCGUGACAAAUAUAAUGUUUUUUUCUGAGUAAAAUUUUAAAUAGAAGAGGAAUGUCACCAUAAUUUAGAGGGAGUUCACCCCAAAAUCAAAUUUAAUCCACCAUAUCACAGUGCAUAAGGAUGCGUGCGUCUGCUCAUGACAGGAUGUAAACGCUGAUGGCGUCACCCUCGGCUGAACUGUAGUGUUGGUAGUGUCAAUGUUUCUAUGGCUGAUAUAUCCAAAACUGAACAUUCUGCACCAAAAAUAUUGAUACAUUUACAUGCACAUCUCAGUACAUGUGAAAGUCAACUGUGGGUUAUAAAACUGCAGGUCGUUUUUUUUAUAUUUGCAAGGGGUCUUUCAUUAUUUGACUAAAAAAAAUUAUCGAUAUGUGAUAAAUUCAGAAAAUGACAGUCGGUAGUCAGAAAACACACAUGAUGGCAGACAAAGUCCUUAGAUGUGUGCUUGUUACAUUUCUCUUAAAUUCGGUAACAUUAAUCUGUAUUACAUGGAUCCUGUAUUGGUACAUAUCUCCAACAUUAUGUCCAAACCUGUUUAAGAAGGACAGCCAGUCAGAAGAAGGUGAUCUUGAAUGGCAUGUGAAGGGAGCUAAAAUAAACUGCACCAAGGCCAAGAAAAAUAAGGAUUAUCUUGAGCUGAGAAUCAUCCAAAACUAAUUGAGUAGGAUCGAAAAAAUAAUAAAAAAAUCAUCUUGGAAAUGUUAGAAAACUGAAUGGUUAACCAGUUUUAACAGUUCUCGUUAAAAUUGUAGGUAGAUAUUGAAAAAAGGACUUAUUUUACAUGUUAUUUUUGUUGCAACUAAACUCGAGGCUUUUAUGGGAGUGAUUUGUGGACGCAGCCCUUGACUUUGUGCAAGAGGCAAAGCAAAAACGUAUUCCCAUUAUGAUGUUCAAGUACUAUAUACUGACAUGUAGCACACAUGAAGUGCAUUACCUUGACAGAAUGUGCUGUUAGGUUAGCCACAAAAUCUGGGGAAUAGAUAUAAUGAUGAUGAAGCAUAUAAAAUAAUGGCUUUUGCACAGAUUGACAAUAAAAAUACUCUACUGUUGGUCGUAUGACCAAGGUAAGUUGGCAUCAUUUGCCUUAAGCAUUCCCUUUUUUGUGUGUUUGUGUUAUGUGGUUUUCUCUCAGAGGAAUGGCAGGCUUUGCAGACUUUUCCUUGGAUGUCAAUCUCUUACAUCUGAAAAAUGUAUGACUAUCACCUCUACUUUUAAAGUCAUUUGAAAAACUUUUUGUUGUUGUUGUCACAGCAGCCAUCCAAACUGUUACCAUUUCCACCUGUGCAAUCCCUACUGUGACAAAUGUGAUCAGUGAACAAAGUCUUUUUUUAUUGAACUGCAAUUUGCUGCUGCUGCUGUCUGAACACAGCCUCAGAUAAACGGUAUUCUCAUUAUUGCACAGUAACUCUGUUCAUGUAAACACACUAACACUCAGUACCACACUGCUCUGUACUAACACUCUAUGUUGAAUUCUGGACUUCUCGUAGCAGUUUGAACCAUUAAACAUGAUUUAGACAAGAUAA